GCCCGCAAGAUCUGCAGCAACAGGGCUACCAUCGAGGGGUCCAACGGCUCCGAAGAAGAUCCGAGGGAGAAUCUCUUCAACAACAAAGAUUUAAUAAAAAGGUUGGUCGAUGGGUGCAUUUUGCCCGAGAUCGUCCAUAGGUCGUCCAUGCCAAUCCUGAAUAGUAGGUUUGGGACUCUCUGGGGUCUUUUCUUGAGGU
rnacentral:lncRNA from 1 species